rnacentral:rRNA from 1 species
CAAUAGCGUAUAUUUAAGUUGUUGCAGUUAAAAAGCUCGUAGUUGGAUUUCGGGUGGGACGCAGCGGUCUCGCAUUGCGUUUGUACUGCUGCAGCCCUCCUUCUUGCCGGGGGCGGCCUCUCGGACUUCACUGUCUGGGGGUCAGAAUCGGCGAUGUUACUUUGAGUAAAUUAGAGUGUUCAAAGCAAGCUUACGCUCUGAAUAUAAUAGCAUGGGAUAACACGACAGGACUCUGGCCCAUCGUGUUGGUCUAUAGGACCAGAGUAAUGAUUAAGAGGGACAGUCGGGGGCAUUCGUAUUCCGUUGUCAGAGGUGAAAUUCUUGGAUUUACGGAAGACGAACAUCUGCGAAAGCAUUUGCCAAGGAUGUUUNCAUUGA